UACGGGGGGGCAAGCGUUGUUCGGAAUUACUGGGCGCAAAGGGCUCGUAGGCGGCCAACUAAGUCAGACGUGAAAUCCCUCGGCUUAACCGGGGAACUGCAUCUGAUACUGGAUGGCUUGAGUUCGGGAGAGGGAUGCGGAAUUCCAGGUGUAGCGGUGAAAUGCGUAGAUAUCUGGAGGAACACCGGUGGCGAAGGCGGCAUCCUGGACCGACACUGACGCUGAGGCGCGAAAGCCAGGGGAGCAAACGGG
rnacentral:rRNA from 1 species